GCCGGGACUUCUUUACCGGGUACCGUCAUUAUCUUCCCCGGCGAAAGAGCUUUACGACCCUAGGGCCUUCGUCACUCACGCGGCAUGGCUAGAUCAGGGUUUCCCCCAUUGUCUAAGAUUCCCC
rnacentral:rRNA from 1 species